UGGGGAAUCUUGCACAAUGGGGGCAACCCUGAUGCAGCGACGCCGCGUGAGCGAUGAAGCCCUUCGGGGCGUAAAGCUCUUUCGACCGGAACGAUAAUGACGGUACCGGGAGAAGAAGCUGCGGCUAACUACGUGCCAGCAGCCGCGGUAAUACGUAGGCAGCAAGCGUUGUUCGGAGUUACUGGGCGUGAAGAGUGCGUAGGCGGUUUUCUAAGUUCGGUGUGAAAUCUCCCGGCUUAACUGGGAGGGUGCGCCGAAGACUGGGAAGCUGGAGUGUGGGAAAGNCAGGCGGAAUUCCUGGUGUAGCGGUGAAAUGCGUAGAUAUCAGGAGGAACACCGGCGGUGUAGACGGCUUGCUAGACCAUAACUGACGCUGAGGCACGAAAGCGUGGGUAGCAAACA
rnacentral:rRNA from 1 species